UACGUAGGGUGCAAGCGUUGUCUGGAAUUAUUGGGCGUAAAGAGCUCGUAGGCGGUUUGCCGCGUCUGCUGUGAAAACCCGAGGCUCAACCUCGGGCCUGCAGUGGGUACGGGCAGACUAGAGUGCGGUAGGGGAGAUUGGAAUUCCUGGUGUAGCGGUGGAAUGCGCAGAUAUCAGGAGGAACACCAAUGGCGAAGGCAGAUCUCUGGGCCGUAACUGACGCUGAGGAGCGAAAGCAUGGGGAGCGAACAGG
rnacentral:rRNA from 1 species